AACGCUAGCUACAGGCUUAACACAUGCAAGUCGAGGGGAAACGAUAUUGGAAGCUUGCUUCCGAUAGGCGUCGACCGGCGCACGGGUGAGUAACGCGUAUCCAACCUGCCCACCACUUGGGGAUAACCUUGCGAAAGUAAGACUAAUACCCAAUGAUAUCUCUAGAAGACAUCUGAAGGAGAUUAAAGAUUUAUCGGUGAUGGAUGGGGAUGCGUCUGAUUAGCUUGUUGGCGGGGUAACGGCCCACCAAGGCAACGAUCAGUAGGGGUUCUGAGAGGAAGGUCCCCCACAUUGGAACUGAGACACGGUCCAAACUCCUACGGGAGGCAGCAGUGAGGAAUAUUGGUCAAUGGACGAGAGUCUGAACCAGCCAAGUAGCGUGCAGGAUGACGGCCCUAUGGGUUGUAAACUGCUUUUAUAAGGGAAUAAAGUGAGUCUCGUGAGACUUUUUGCAUGUACCUUAUGAAUAAGGACCGGCUAAUUCCGUGCCAGCAGCCGCGGUAAUACGGAAGGUCCGGGCGUUAUCCGGAUUUAUUGGGUUUAAAGGGAGCGUAGGCCGGAGAUUAAGCGUGUUGUGAAAUGUAGACGCUCAACGUCUGCACUGCAGCGCGAACUGGUUUCCUUGAGUACGCACAAAGUGGGCGGAAUUCGUGGUGUAGCGGUGAAAUGCUUAGAUAUCACGAAGAACUCCGAUUG
rnacentral:rRNA from 1 species